UUGUUUUCAAUCCGCCAUUAACCAAAAGAAGAAGAAGACGACGACGACGAAGACUUCAGAUCUAAUAAACGGACAACACACACUUAAUCUAAAGGACAAGGUUAUUUUAAAUUGUGAGAAGUGUGUUUGGAUCUCCCUCAAAAUGUCGUACAUGCUCCCUCAUCUUCACAAUGGCUGGCAAGUGGACCAGGCUAUUUUAUCAGAGGAAGACCGUGUGAUUGUUAUACGAUUCGGCCACGAUUGGGACCCUACGUGUAUGAAAAUGGAUGAAGUGUUGUACAGCAUCGCCGAAAAGGUGAAGAAUUUUGCAGUCAUUUAUCUUGUGGAUAUCACCGAAGUGCCAGAUUUCAACAAGAUGUAUGAGUUGUAUGAUCCUUG